rnacentral:lncRNA from 1 species
GCUAACGGUGCACCCAGUGUAAGCAGUUGAACAGUUCAGGGGGCACUCUUUUCCCUAAAAGAGGGUUUUUAAUGAGGCCACCCAAUAAAAAAGAAGUUAUCGGUAUAAGAGUUUGCAAAGUUUCAAAGUUAAAAUCCUCCCCGCCCCAGGCGCGAGCGCUGGUAAUCGGUUAGGCCUUCCUCGCCCCAGGCGCGAGCAUGGCAACCGGUUUAAAGUCCUCCUCACCCCAGGUGUGAGUGCAGGCAACUAAGGUUCGAAAAGCCAGGGGUGCUAGUAAGCCCAAGAAGGGAAAGGGAGGAUUU